rnacentral:rRNA from 1 species
CCUACGGGAGGCAGCAGUCGAGAAUCUUUGACAAUGGGCGAAACCCUGAUGCUGCGACGCCGCGUGGGGGAAUGAAGGUCUUCGGAUUGUAAACCCCUUUCAUGUGGGAGCAAAUUAAAAAGAUAGUACCACAAUAGGAAGAGACGGAUAACUCGGUUCCAUCAGCUGCGGUACUACAGAGGUCUCAAUCGUUGUUCGGCAUCACGUGGCGUAAAGGGUUCGUAGGCUGUUUCGUAAGUCGGGUGUGAAAGGCGCGGGCUCAACCCGCGGACGGCACAUGAUACUGGGGGUCUAGAGUGAUGGAGAGGGAAGCGGAAUUCGCGGUGUAGCAGUGAAAUGCGUAGAUAUCGAGAGGAACACUCGUGGCGAAGGCGGGUUCCUGGACAUUAACUGACGCUGAGGCACGAAGGCGAGGGGAGCGAAAGGGAUUAGAUACCCGUGUAGUC